rnacentral:lncRNA from 1 species
CGCGCACUCCAAGGACCCCAACCUGUUAGGUCGUGACCCGGCGGAGACCAGGACACGCGGCUGCCGGCACAUACGGUGAGGCCUUCGCAGAGACUCACCUGGAGAAUGAAAACGGGCGUCAGCCCACAUCUGGAUCUGGGUACUGAGGACAACACCCAAACCCCACCCCGCACUGCCGGCAGACAGCACCGCCUCCCGCCGCUCCACUGCUCCGGGACACACACUCUCUAUAUCCCGUCCCCCCACCCACACACGCAACACAGAAGCACGCAGCGGUCGGGAGCACCGGUCCUGCGCCCCUGGCCAGCCACACCCGCAACUUCAGCGCUUCUACCGCCGCGGCGCUUCGGGAAGCACAAGCUCACAUCCCAUAUCCGCAGAACACGGGGUGCACAAGGCUGGAGUCACCUCGGGGGCUCACGAUCAGUCAGGGGCCCCGACCCCCUACUUCGCCCAUCCUAGCAAGGCGCAAGAAUCACCAUAAACGCUGGAUUUGCUGACCACAUGGCCGAUCGUGACCACCUGCUCUGUACUCACCCAGGCUUCUGGUCAGGAGAGAGGCGGGGAAGAGCUGCCCCCUCCCUGCGUCCACCAUCACUCCUGGCCUGGGAUCAGGGCAAGUUAUAAAGGGGGCCAGAGUCCCCCCUUUCUCUCUGUCCCUCUCCAGGAGGACACUCUGGGGACCACCCACCCUCCUCCCUCCCCCACAGGAAGGGGACUGGGGAAGACUGUCCUCUUCCCCCAUCCUGUCUCAUCCAAGACCCUGAGCCUGGGGCGGGGAGGGGGGGGCUCCCUUCAGCGGACCAAGGGCUUCUGGGAGGCCACCCGCCAUGUCAGUGGAUUGAUUAAAGUCAUUGUGGGGAUUUUUUUUAACAUUUAAUUUACCAGGCACGCGGCGGCUGGUCAGAGCUGUCCCCAGGGAAAUCUAGACCAAGGGAGCAAAACAGAAAAAAACCUCCUACCAUUCAGCAGGGCCCCUCUGAUGGGAUUAAUUGCCGGAACUCGGCUUCCAUUCAGACCACACGCAGCAAUGUUUCAGGGAGGGAGGAGGACAUGGGGCUUGAGUGCUCAGAUUCCUUCCCUGGGUGCUUGGAGCCCAGGGCCCUCCAUACCGCCAUCUCUCCCCAGCCUGCUGGUGCUGGUCAAGAGCCCCGCCCCCCACCUCUCCGCACCUUCGUGUCUUCAUGUGUGACGAGGUGGACGGUACCCGGAGGCAGACCAGUCCCUCCAGAGCCCACCCCACCCCCAUCCACGUCCCUUCAGUGUGCAGGGCAAGAGCUGGGAGGCACCCCAGACACGCUCCCACGGAAACUGAA